CCGCGGGUACUCCGCAUCGUCCGCAGACAGCAUGGGGGGGCUGCUCCGCUCCGGAUCUGCGAGAGAAAUGGCUACUGAGACUCAGAGAAGUCCACUGACAAGCCUAAAGCAACACUGAAUGGAAGAGGCCUGAUUUGAUCUCAAUAUUUAUUACGUUUGUGCCACCACACUCUCCACGAUGACUGUUUCUUGAGUGAACAUUGACAGCACCACAUGGCAUGUGUGGACUUCCUCACUGACCUGCUGCUAUCCCCAACCAUGGCCCUGGGUCUUGGGUGGUCCCUCUCACCAUGGUCACCAUCCUCUGUUGUGCUCCCCAAAAUAAGGUCCAAAUACAUGAGAGAUGACUUUGGGAAGAACAUUAUUUUAUGUCUUCUCUUCCUUCCUCUUUUUUUCUUUUUCUGGGGGGACAGGGUCUUGCUCUGGCACUCAGCUUGGAGUAUAAUGGUGUGAUCAUAGCUCACUGCAGCCUCAAGCUCCUGGGCUCAAGAGUUCCUCCCACUUCAGCCUCCCAAGUAGCUGGAAUUACAGGUGCCUGCCACCACACCCAGUGAAUUUCUUCCUUUUUUUAGAGAUGGGGUCUUGCUAUGUUGCCCAGGCUGGUCUCAACCUCCUAGGCUCAAGUGAUUCUCCCACUUUGGCCUCCCAAAGUGCUGAGAUUAAAAGUGUGAGCCGCGGACCA
rnacentral:lncRNA from 1 species